rnacentral:rRNA from 1 species
GAUGAACGCUGGCGGCGUGCCUAAUACAUGCAAGUCGAGCGAACAGACGAGGAGCUUGCUCCUCUGACGUUAGCGGCGGACGGAUGAGUAACACGUGGAUAACCUACCUAUAAGACUGGGAUAACUUCGGGAAACCGGAGCUAAUACCGGAUAAUAUAUUGAACCGCAUGGUUCAAUAGUGAAAGACGGUUUUGCUGUCACUUAUAGAUGGAUCCGCGCCGCAUUAGCUAGUUGGUAAGGUAACGGCUUACCAAGGCAACGAUGCGUAGCCGACCUGAGAGGGUGAUCGGCCACACUGGAACUGAGACACGGUCCAGACUCCUACGGGAGGCAGCAGUAGGGAAUCUUCCGCAAUGGGCGAAAGCCUGACGGAGCAACGCCGCGUGAGUGAUGAAGGUCUUCGGAUCGUAAAACUCUGUUAUUAGGGAAGAACAAAUGUGUAAGUAACUACGCACGUCUUGACGGUACCUAAUCAGAAAGCCACGGCUAACUACGUG